rnacentral:rRNA from 1 species
CCUGAACGCUGGCGGCGUGGCUAAGACAUGCAAGUCGUACGGGCGCAGCAAUGCGUCAGUGGCGGACGGGUGAGUAAUGAAUCGCUAACGUGCCCCGGACACUGGGAUAGCCGCCCGAAAGGGCAGGUAAUACCAGAUGAUAUGUUCCUGUCGCAUGGCAGGAACCUCAAAGGAGCAAUCCGGUCUGGGAGCGGGCGAUUUCGUAUCAGCUUGUUGGUGAGGUAACGGCUCACCAAGGCGACGACGCGUAGCCGGACUGAGAGGUUGGCCGGCCACA